rnacentral:lncRNA from 1 species
CGGCUGUGUGAUAGAAACUGAGAAGGAAGCAGAAAAGAAAAGGCCAAUGCAGUAUGUACAUGUAGUUCAUGUCCAGUACGCUGUGGGCCUCUGUCAACUAGACCCUCUAACUUGACUUAUGAAUACAGAUUGCCGCAACUCCUUGUAAAAGAAUUGGCGGAACUCAAAACUUCAUUUAUAAGACUUAUAAGACACAAAGCUG